rnacentral:rRNA from 1 species
GACGAACGCUGGCGGUGUGCUUAACACAUGCCAGUCGAACGGUAAGGCCCUUUCGGGGGUACACGAGUGGCGAACGGGUGAGUAACACGUGAGUAACCUGCCCUCAUCUCUGGGAUAACAGUCGGAAACGGUUGCUAAUACUGGAUAUGAGCUUGCAAGGCAUCUUGUGGGUUGGAAAGAUUUUUUUUGGUUGGGGAUGGACUCGCGGCCUAUCAGCUUGUUGGUGAGGUAGUGGCUCACCAAGGCUUCGACGGGUAGCCGGCCUGAGAGGGCGACCGGCCACAUUGGGACUGAGAUACGGCCCAAACUCCUACGGGUGGCAGCAGUGGGGAAUAUUGCACAAUGGACGGAAGUCUGAUGCAGCAACGCCGCGUGCGGGAUGACGGCCUUCGGGUUGUAAACCGCUUUCAAUUGUGACGAAGCUUUUUUGUGACGGUAGCAGUAGAAGAAGCACCGGCUAACUACGUG